AACAUGACCGUAUUACAUAAGGUAAACACGUAUUGGCACAAAGUAACAAAAUGUAAUCCAUAUAUUCUGUCUCUCACAGAGUGAUUGAACAAGUAUGGCGCUACAAAGGCAUACUUGGAUUGUCAAAUGAACAUGUUGCGUUUGUUCCUGGUAGAUUAUAUCCUUGUUCUACAAGAGAUGUAAAGCGAUAUAUGUUAACCUCAAGGAACUCCUCUACAAUUUUGGAGGGCAACAAAUUGAGCUACCAGCAACAAACGAACACUGGCAUUCGACAUACUCCCGACCAUCUAUUGUUUUCUUCAAUUUUGAAUAUACGUGAUCUGUCCAGGA